UUGAGCUUGACUCUAGUCUGGCAUGGUGAAAAGACAUCAGAGGUGUAGAAUAAGCGGGAGGCCCCCGGUGCCCCGAGUCCCGUUUUCCCCGUGAGGGGGCGGGGCGGGGCGGGGGUCCGCUGGCCUCGUGGGCGGCCGAUGAAAUACCACUACUCUGAGAGUUUUUCACUGACCCAGUGAGGCUGGGGGGGGGGGGCCCUGAGGGCACAACCCACUCUGGGAACAGUGCCAGGUGGGGAGUUUGACUGGGGCGGUACACCUGUCAAACGGUAACUCAGGUGUCCUAAGGCGAGCUCAGGGAGGACAGAAAACUCCCAGGGAGCAGAAGGGCAAAAGUUCGCUUGAUCUUGAUUUUCAGUACGAAUACAGACCAUGAAAGCGGGGCCUCACGUUAAUAAAAAAAUAAAUAAAUAAAUAAAAUGAUUGCCA
rnacentral:ncRNA from 1 species